AAGUGGCUGGUGAGUGUCCUCAGUCCCAGCUCGGAUACAGAUGUGUCGGUGUGUCUUUGUUCCCUGCAGUAGUGCCCUCUCCAGCUCAGUCAUCAUCCACAUACCCCAGGACACUGUCCGAGCCAAAGAGAUCAUCGCCUACGUCAACACGCUGAAGACUCAGGUCAGCUAUUACGCAGAGAGGCUGUCUCAAGCUGCCAAAGACCAAUCGGCCAGCGGACUGGAGUGGACGCUCGCCAGUCUGGUUGACAAGACCCGUCAGCUGGUGGCAGUGUGCGGCUGCAAGCUGCUAGCUUCAGCUAUUUAGGCCCUGAACGCAGUACGAGUACAUCGCAACCAAAGCUUCUCCUUCCGCUGAGUCUGAACAAGUAGUGCUCCGCAAUGACCAGGAUACGCUGAGAGCAAAGUACAGCGGUCACAACAGCCAGUCGUCACUGCACGUGGACUGGCACGAAGAGGAGUGGGCCACGCCCACGGACUACAGCGCCAUGAUGAGCAACAAAGCCAAGAAGUCUAUUGACUUCCUUCUGAUGCAGGACACCGCCCCGACGAUAGCCACGGACGUGUCACUGCAGUACCGCCUCGACAUCGUCUUCUGCCAAACGGUCACCUACACAUAUUUUAAUUAUUGUAUGUCUGAGCUGAUGCGUUUAUCCUGGAGUGACUCAGAGUGAAGGAGAAGGCCAAGAAGAAGUGUAAAUAUCAUAGAAGCAAGGAGUUCAGAGCUCUACGACUUAGUGUCUUUAUGGUAUUUAUGUGUGUAAUGGAGACCAGGGGUUCCAUUACCCUUACUUGUAUUUUUAUUAAUUGACUGACUGAUUUGUAUUUAAAAACCGUAAUGAAGAAAAACACACACUGGUUGAUUGUGAUU